AUGAUUUUUACUUUUUCUCUAAAGUCCUCAUCUUUUAUUUAUUAUUUUCUUCAAUUAUGUUUGAUAAACUGUUUUAUUAAAAAUAAAAUAAAAAAUCAAAAUAUCACCAACUAACCCACGAUCUCUAAAUAUCAGAGAACUCCUUUUAUGUAUAAAUAUUUUCUAAAACUUUUCUUUCCAUUUCACAAAACACAAACAAAAAAUAUGAAAAUCAUCAUACGACAAAAGCUCUUCUCUAAAAAUUUUCAAAGAAGUUUUUCUUUCCAACCAUACAACUCCAGGUGAAUCAAGUUAUAUAUAAGUUUACAUUUCUAGAAAAUCAUUUCGAUAAGUUCAUCUUCUAAACCCUUUCUUCUUCUUCUUUUUCUCAUUGUGUGUUUAUUGGUUUUCAUACUUAAGAAAUUCUUGCGGUGAAGAAGGACAAAGAUACUUCAAAGCAAGAGUUUUUAAAGAGGAAGAAGAUUUGAAGUUUUUUUAGAGGAAGAACUGAAGAAGAAAGAACAAUUAACAAAGGAAGAAGCAUGGAGCAAAGGAAGAUUGAUUAUUCAUGUGUUUAGACGUGAGAAACCAAAACCCAAUUGUAAUAUAUUUUUUUAAUAAAGAUUUGAUUNNNN
rnacentral:lncRNA from 1 species